GCCUUGUGACUGCUUGGGAACUCCCUGACAGCCAUAUCAUAUCAAUCCUUCUUUAGAUUGCAAGGCAAUGUAAGUCAGUUCUCCCCCAGAGUGCCUUCCCCCUUUCCGUUGCUCAGUGCCAGACCCACAUUAUGGUUCGAAGCCAGGCUCCCCCACUCUCUUCUGGCUCCCUCCAAGUUUGCUCUCUCUGAUGCCUCCCCUAAUAAAUUUCUCCUAUCUUUUAUCAUCUCACAUCUGCUCCUGGGAGGACUCAGACGAACCUGUUCUCCCCAUUCGACUAUGAGCUCCAUAAAGUGGAGAUCCAGGUCUGGCCUGUUGAUCCCUGAUCCUUUAAUGCCUGGCAUGAGGCCCUGUCUAGCAGGAAGGCAGAUUUUUCACCUGAAAUCGCUGACCAGGUGACCACAUCAGCUAAGCUCAACCCUGCAGUCAUCCCAUCCCAGGUGCCAGAGAGUGAGUGAAGAAGCCUCCAGAAGACUCCUGCCAUGCUCUGUCUGAAUUUCUCACCUAUGAAUUUAUGAGUGUAAAAAAUAAAUUGACAAA